UGAAAUGAUGAUGGUUAUUGUCGCCCCCAGUCUUAAUUUGCACCACACGGUGUAAGAUGGUGAAUGACAUUCUUAUCUGAUCC
rnacentral:snoRNA from 1 species